rnacentral:rRNA from 1 species
GGGUUCGAUUCCGGAGAGGGAGCCUGAGAAACGGCUACCACAUCCAGGGAAGGCAGCAGGCGCGCAAAUUACCCAAUCCCAAUACGGGGAGGUAGUGACAGUAAAUAACAAUAUGGGGCUCUUACGGGUCUCGUAAUUGGAAUGAGUACAAUUUAAAUCUCUUAACGAGGAACAAUUGGAGGGCAAGUCUGGUGCCAGCAGCCGCGGUAAUUCCAGCUCCAAUAGCGUAUAUUAAAGUUGUUGCAGUUAAAAAGCUCGUAGUUGAAUUUCGGAGUUUGUCGGUUGGUCGGGCUUCACUGUCCGCACUGGCCUGAUGGAUUCCUACCUUCUGAAUAACCAGCAUGCUAUUAAGUUAGUGCGUUGGGGAAGCAGAGCUAUUACCUUGAAAAAAUUAGAGUGCUUAAAGCAGGCUUUUGCUUGAAUAGAUUAGCAUGGAAUAAUAAAAUAGGACGGCAUGGUUCUAUUUUGUUGGUUUCUAGGAUCACCGUAAUGAUUAAUAGGGAUAGUUGGGGGCAUUAGUAUUCAAUUGUCAGAGGUGAAAUUCUUGGAUUUAUUGAAGACUAACUUCUGCGAAAGCAUUUGCCAAGGAUGUUUUCAUUAAUCAAGAACGAAAGUUAGGGGAUCGAAGACGAUCAGAUACCGUCGUAGUCUUAACCAUAAACUAUGCCGACUAGGGAUCGGACGAUGUUAAUUUUUUAAUGACUCG